rnacentral:rRNA from 1 species
UCCGCAAUGGGCGAAAGCCUGACGGAGCAACGCCGCGUGGGGGAGGAAGGUCCUUGGAUUGUAAACCUCUUUUCUCAAGGAAGAAAAAAAUGACGGUACUUGAGGAAUAAGCAUCGGCUAACUCCGUGCCAGCAGCCGCGGUAAUACGGAGGAUGCAAGCGUUAUCCGGAAUCAUUGGGCGUAAAGCGUCCGCAGGUGGUAAUGUAAGUUUUUAGUUAAAGACAGAAGCUCAACUUCUGAAAGGCUAAGAAAACUGCAUAACUAGAGGCGGGUAGGGGUAGCAGGAAUUCCCAGUGUAGCGGUGAAAUGCGUAGAGAUUGGGAAGAACAUCGGUGGCGAAAGCGUGCUACUGGGUCGAGCCUGACACUGAG